rnacentral:rRNA from 1 species
GACGAACGCUGGCGGCGUGCCUAAUACAUGCAAGUAGAACGCACAGUUUAUACCGUAGCUUGUACACCAUAGACUGUGAGUUGCGAACGGGUGAGUAACGCGUAGGUAACCUGCCUGGUAGCGGGGGAUAACUAUUGGAAACGAUAGCUAAUACCGCAUAAUAUUAAUUAUUGCAUGAUAAUUGAUUAAAAGGUGCAAUUGCACCACUACCAGAUGGACCUGCGUUGUAUUGCUAGUAGGUGAGGUAACGGCUCACCUAGGCGACGAUACAUAGCCGACCUGAGAGGGUGAUCGGCCACACUGGGACUGAGACACGGCCCAGACUCCUACGGGAGGCAGCAGUAGGGAAUCUUCGGCAAUGGACGAAAGUCUGACCGAGCAACGCCGCGUGAGUGAAGAAGGUUUUCGGAUCGUAAAGCUCUGUUGUAAGAGAAGAACGGGUGUGAGAGUGGAAAGUUCACACUGUGACGGUAUCUUACCAGAAAG